UUGUACUCUUGGAUCCUGGGAACGCUGGGAACACUGGGAACGCUGGGAACACUGGGAACAUCAGAGGUUUUCCUGAGGAAAACAUUCGGACUGGAUCCUCUGCCGAUUCCCAAACCGGUUCCCAGCUUUACGACCCGUUAGUGUUCGCUCAACAGGAACCAGUCGGGUCAGACGGUACCGAGCUUACCGGGACCGGUAAAGUGUAAACAUGACGACGUUCCGUAGAGCUGCUGUGGGAAAACCCGGAUCAGAACAUUUGGUCUAGAUUAAACACUCAACAGGGAAGUUGUUCUGACCCGGUUCUGGUGUCACUGUUCCUGAUUAGAACCGGUUAAAACUCCAGUUCUGCGGUUCGGUCCGUUUGAACAAUAAAUAGAAAACUUCUGGAUUUCUGUUCUGACCCGUUUGUCCCACUCAGUAAGACACUCUGGUUCUGAUCCAGCAGUCGGUUCUGGUUCUGACGGGUCACCAGUAGAAGGAGCGAGACAGAAAGUUGGCGGCAGCGCCGAACCAGCUGGACCCGUCCUGGCCCGACCCGACCCGGCUGAUCGCCUUGUCUGGGUCUUGAGACGGACUCUCCUCCUCCGGAAGAUACUCCGGCAGGUCCAGGUUCUGCUCCACCGAUACAGAACC